AUUGAACGCUGGCGGCAUGCCUUACACAUGCAAGUCGAACGGCAGCACGGGUGCUUGCACCUGGUGGCGAGUGGCGAACGGGUGAGUAAUAUAUCGGAACGUACCUUAUUGUGGGGGAUAACGCAGCGAAAGCUGUGCUAAUACCGCAUAAUCCCUAAGGGGGAAAGCGGGGGACCGUAAGGCCUCGCGCAAUUAGAGCGGCCGAUACCUGAUUAGCUAGUUGGUGAGGUAAAGGCUCACCAAGGCAACGAUCAGUAGCUGGUCUGAGAGGACGAUCAGCCACCCUGGAACUGAGACACGGCCCAGACUCCUACGGGAGGCAGCAGUGGGGAAUUUUGGACAAUGGGGGCAACCCUGAUCCAGCAAUGCCGCGUGAGUGAAGAUGGCCUUCGGGUUGUAAAGCUCUUUUGUCAGGGAAGAAACAGCAGCUCUAACACAGUUUGCGAAUGACGGUACCUGAAGAAUAAGCACCGGCUAACUACGUGCCAGCCGCCGCGGUAA
rnacentral:rRNA from 1 species